rnacentral:rRNA from 1 species
UUGAGGAAUAUUGGUCAAUGGGCGAGAGCCUGAACCAGCCAAGUAGCGUGAGGGAUGACUGCCCUAUGGGUUGUAAACCUCUUUUGCAGGGGGGUAAAGUGGUUCACGUGUGGACCAUUGCAAGUACCCUGCGAAUAAGGAUCGGCUAACUCCGUGCCAGCAGCCGCGGUAAUACGGAGGAUCCGAGCGUUAUCCGGAUUUAUUGGGUUUAAAGGGAGCGUAGGCGGGGGUUUAAGUCAGCUGUGAAAUGCCGUGGCCCAACCAUGGAACUGCAGUUGAAACUGGACCUCUUGAGAGUACAUAAGGAAGGCGGAAUUCGUGGUGUAGCGGUGAAAUGCAUAGAUAUCACGAAGAACUCCGAUUGCGAAGGCAGCUUUCCGGGGUACAUCUGACGCUGAAGCUCGAAAGUGCGGGAAUCAAACAGGAUUAGAUACCCUUGUAGUCC